rnacentral:rRNA from 1 species
GCAAAACGCGAAGAACCUUACCAGGUCUUGACAUCCCGGUGACCACUAUGGAGACAUAGUUCCCCUUCGGGGGCAACGGUGACAGGUGGUGCAUGGUUGUCGUCAGCUCGUGUCGUGAGAUGUUGGGUUAAGUCCCGCAACGAGCGCAACCCUUAUUCUUAGUUGCCAUCAUUCAGUUGGGCACUCUAAGGAGACUGCCGGUGAUAAACCGGAGGAAGGUGGGGAUGACGUCAAAUCAUCAUGCCCCUUAUGACCUGGGCUACACACGUGCUACAAUGGACGGUACAAACGGUUGCCAACCCGCGAGGGGGAGCUAAUCCGAUAAAACCGUUCUCAGUUCGGAUUGUAGGCUGCAACUCGCCUACAUGAAGCCGGAAUCGCUAGUAAUCGCGGAUCAGCAUGCCGCGGUGAAUACGUUCCCGGGUCUUGUACACACCG